rnacentral:rRNA from 1 species
AUGCCGAUUGUGUCAGCGAUCGAGCAGUGUGUUGAUCUCAAGACUCUCACCUUGGAUGAUCUGCUUGGUCGCUUCAAGGCCCAUGAUGAGCGGACGAAGUUGAGUUACGGCGAUGCAAAACAUGAUGAGUACCUGAUGUUAACGCGUGCUCAGUGGCUGGCAAUGGUUUCCAAAGAGAACAAUUUCAACAAGGCGUCCGGUAGCGGUGAAAAGUACCGUCCCGCAAAGGACACCGACGAAGAGUCGGAGAAGCCAAGGAAGAAAAAGUUCGACAAGAGGAAGAUCUGCUGCCACAACUGUAAUCUGCUCGGACACUUCAAGUCGGAGUGUAAGAAUCCCCCGAAGGAGAAGGCGCUCAUAGCCCAGCAAGGAGACGGAGGUGACAUGAUGUUGAUGUGUGAACUCGUGGACGAGAAGGAUCCAGUUCUUCAAGCGUCGACUAAAGAAAUUGUCACGCUCAUGGAAGAAAAAGUUUGCCAUUAUAAUCAUGGUUCGGAUACUCGUAUCCACCUACAGAUACGGGAGGUGAUUUCGAAACUCGUGUCGAAGCUAUUGAUGCGAGACAUAAUUCUAAAAUUUGUGUCGAUGCUACGGACACGAAUAUCAUUUUGGCGUACGUGGCACCGGAAGACCACGAAUCAAAGUAUGCUGGUGUAA